rnacentral:rRNA from 1 species
GAUCAUGGCUCAGGAUGAACGCUGGCGGCGUGCUUAACACAUGCAAGUCGAACGAAGCACUUUGGACAGAUUCUUCGGAUGAAAUCCUUAGUGACUGAGUGGCGGACGGGUGAGUAACGCGUGGGUAACCUGCCUCAUACAGGGGGAUAACAGUUAGAAAUGACUGCUAAUACCGCAUAAGACCACAGCACCGCAUGGUGCAGGGGUAAAAACUCCGGUGGUAUGAGAUGGACCCG